UACGGAGGGGGCUAGCGUUGUUCGGAAUUACUGGGCGUAAAGCGCUCGUAGGCGGAUUGGUCAGUCAGAGGUGAAAGCCCAGGGCUCAACCCUGGAACUGCCUUUGAUACUGCCAGUCUAGAGUUCGGGAGAGGUGAGCGGAAUUCCGAGUGUAGAGGUGAAAUUCGUAGAUAUUCGGAGGAACACCAGAGGCGAAGGCGGCUCACUGGACCGAUACUGACGCUGAGGAGCGAAAGCGUGGGGAGCAAACAGGAUUAGAUACCCGGGUAGUCC
rnacentral:rRNA from 1 species